AGUGAACGCUGGCGGUAGGCCUAACACAUGCAAGUCGAACGGCAGCACAGUAAGAGCUUGCUCUUACGGGUGGCGAGUGGCGGACGGGUGAGGAAUACAUCGGAAUCUACUUUUUCGUGGGGGAUAACGUAGGGAAACUUACGCUAAUACCGCAUACGACCUACGGGUGAAAGCAGGGGAUCUUCGGACCUUGCGCGAUUGAAUGAGUCGAUGUCGGAUUAGCUAGUUGGCGGGGUAAAGGCCCACCAAGGCGACGAUCCGUAGCUGGUCUGAGAGGAUGAUCCGCCACACUGGAACUGAGACACGGUCCAGACUCCUACGGGAGGCAGCAGUGGGGAAUAUUGGACAAUGGGCGCAAGCCUGAUCCAGCCAUACCGCGUGGGUGAAGAAGGCCUUCGGGUUGUAAAGCCCUUUUGUUGGGAAAGAAAAGCAGCAGGUUAAUACCCCGCUGUUCUGACGGUACCCAAAGAAUAAGCACCGGCUAACUUCGUG
rnacentral:rRNA from 1 species